UACGGAGGGUGCGAGCGUUGUCCGGAAUCAUUGGGCGUAAAGGGCGCGUAGGUGGCCCGGUCAGUUCGUGGUGAAAGCGCGGGGCUCAACCCUGCGUCGGCCAUGAAUACUGCCGCGGCUGGAGCACUGUAGAGGCAGGCGGAAUUCCGGGUGUAGCGGUGGAAUGCGUAGAGAUCCGGAAGAACACCGGUGGCGAAGGUGGCCUGCUGGGCAGUUGCUGACACUGAGGCGCGACAGCGUGGGGAGCAAACAGG
rnacentral:rRNA from 1 species